rnacentral:rRNA from 1 species
UACGUAGGGCGCGAGCGUUGUCCGGAAUUAUUGGGCGUAAAGAGCUCGUAGGCGGCCUGUUGCGUCUGCUGUGAAAUCCCGGGGCUUAACCCCGGGCGUGCAGUGGAUACGGGCAGGCUGGAGGCAGGCAGGGGAGAAUGGAAUUCCCGGUGUAGCGGUGAAAUGCGCAGAUAUCGGGAGGAACACCGAUGGCGAAGGCAGGUCUCUGGGCUGUAACUGACGCUGAGGAGCGAAAGCAUGGGGAGCGAACAGG